rnacentral:rRNA from 1 species
GACGAACGCUGGCGGCGUGCUUAACACAUGCAAGUCGAACGCUGAAGCCUGCAGCUUGCUGUGGGUGGAUGAGUGGCGAACGGGUGAGUAACACGUGAGUAACCUGCCCUUCACUGGGGGAUAAGCCUUGGAAACGGGGUCUAAUACCGCAUAUGACUACGCAUCGCAUGGUGUGUGGUGGAAAGUUUUUUCGGUGAGGGAUGGGCUCGCGGCCUAUCAGCUUGAUGGUGGGGUGAUGGCCUACCAUGGCGACGACGGGUAGCCGGCCUGAGAGGGCGACCGGCCACACUGGGACUGAGACACGGCCCAGACUCCUACGGGAGGCAGCAGUGGGGAAUAUUGCACAAUGGGGGAAACCCUGAUGCAGCGACGCCGCGUGGGGGAUGACGGCCUUCGGGUUGUAAACCUCUUUCAGUAGGGAAGAAGCGCAAGUGACGGUACCUGCAGAAGAAGCACCGGCUAACUACGUGCCAGCCGCCGCCGUAACAC